rnacentral:rRNA from 1 species
CGUAGGGUGCGAGCGUUGUCCGGAAUUAUUGGGCGUAAAGAGCUCGUAGGCGGUUUGUCGCGUCGGCCGUGAAAACUUGGGGGCUUAACUCCAAGCUUGCGGUCGAUACGGGCAGACUUGAGUUCGGCAGGGGAGACUGGAAUUCCUGGUGUAGCGGUGAAAUGCGCAGAUAUCAGGAGGAACACCGGUGGCGAAGGCGGGUCUCUGGGCCGACACUGACGCUGAGGAGCGAAAGCGUGGGGAGCGAACAGGAUUAGAUACCCUGGUAGUCCACGCCGUAAACGGUGGGUGCUAGGUGGUGGGGGGCUUCCACGCCCUCUGUGCCGCAGCUAACGCAUUAAGCACCCCGCCUGGGGAGUACGGCCGCAAGGCUA